rnacentral:rRNA from 1 species
UACGAAGGGGGCGAGCGUUGUUCGGAAUUACUGGGCGUAAAGGGCGCGUAGGCGGCGAACCAAGUCAGAUGUGAAAGUCCUGGGCUUAACCUGGGGACUGCAUUUGAUACUGGUUUGCUUGAAUUCGGGAGAGGAUAGCGGAAUUCCCAGUGUAGAGGUGAAAUUCGUAGAUAUUGGGAAGAACACCGGUGGCGAAGGCGGCUAUCUGGACCGACAUUGACGCUGAGGCGCGAAAGCUAGGGGAGCAAACAGG